AGUGAACGCUGGCGGUAGGCCUAACACAUGCAAGUCGAACGGCAGCACAGUAAGAGCUUGCUCUUACGGGUGGCGAGUGGCGGACGGGUGAGGAAUACAUCGGAAUCUACUUUUUCGUGGGGGAUAACGUAGGGAAACUUACGCUAAUACCGCAUACGACCUACGGGUGAAAGCAGGGGAUCUUCGGACCUUGCGCGAUUGAAUGAGCCGGUGUCGGAUUAGCUAGUUGGCGGGGUAAAGGCCCACCAAGGCGACGAUCCGUAGCUGGGCUGAGAGGAUGAUCAGCCACACUGGAACUGAGAGACGGUCCAGACUCCUACGGGAGGCAGCAGUGGGGAAUAUUGGACAAGGGGCGCAAGCCUGAUCCAGCCAUACCGCGUGGGUGAAGAAGGCCUUCGGGUUGUAAAGCCCUUUUGUUGGGAAAGAAAAGCAGCAGGUUAAUACCCCGCUGUUCUGACGGUACCCAAAGAAUAAGCACCGGCUAACUUCGU
rnacentral:rRNA from 1 species